UAUUGCUAUUAGAUGAGCCUAUAUUAGAUUAGCUAGUUGGUGGAGUAAUAGCCUACCAAGGCAAUGAUCUAUUCUUGAUCUGAGAGGAUGAUCAGCCACACUGGAACUGAGAUACGGUCCAGACUCCUACGGGAGGCAGCAGUGGGGAAUAUUGGACAAUGGGCGAAAGCCUGAUCCAGCUAUGCCGCAUGAGUGAAGAAGGCCUUUGGGUUGUAAAGCUCUUUUAGUGAGGAAGAUAAUGACGGUACUCACAGAAGAAGUCCUGGCUAACUCCGUGCCAGCAGCCGCGGUAAUACGGAGAGGGCUAGCGUUAUUCGGAAUUAUUGGGCGUAAAGGGCGCGUAGGCUGAUUAAUAAGUUAAAAGUGAAAUCCCGAGGCUUAACCUUGGAAUUGCUUUUAAAACUAUUAAUCUAGAGAUUGAAAGAGGAUAGAGGAAUUCCUGAUGUAGAGGUAAAAUUCGUAAAUAUUAGGAGGAACACCAGUGGCGAAGGCGUCUAUCUGGUUCAAAUCUGACGCUGAGGCGCGAAGGCGUGGGGAGCAAACAGGAUUAGAUACCCUGGUAGUCCACGCUAUAAACGAUGAAUGUUAAAUAUGGGAAGUUUACCUUCUGUGUUACAGCUA
rnacentral:rRNA from 1 species